GCGUGUUACUGGUCCCUCUCCCACAAACAAGGAAAUCAUAUGUGACGACUUGCUGGUACCCUGUUCACCAGGCGAUGAUGGAGCCAUCGAAAUGAGCUGGGUAGAUGUGCCCGGUGAUAAAUUGUUCGAACCACCUGUAACAAUGCGCGAUAUGUUAAAAUCAUUGUCACGCACGAAGCCAACCGUCAAUGAAGAUGAUUUGAUAAAGCUGCGUAAAUUCACAGAAGACUUUGGUCAAGAGGGCUAAGCGGCGGGUGCAGAA
rnacentral:sRNA from 1 species